UACGUAGGGGCAAGCGUUGUCCGGAUUUAUUGGGCGUAAAGAGCGUGUAGGCGGCCAGGUAGGUCGGUUGUGAAAACUGGAGGCUCAACCUCCAGACGUCGACCGAAACCAUCUGGCUAGAGUCCGGAAGAGGAGAGUGGAAUUCCUGGUGUAGCGGUGAAAUGCGCAGAUAUCAGGAAGAACACCCGUGGCGAAGGCGGCUCUCUGGGACGGUACUGACGCUGAGACGCGAAAGCGUGGGGAGCGAACAGG
rnacentral:rRNA from 1 species